rnacentral:rRNA from 1 species
UACGGAGGGGGCUAGCGUUGUUCGGAAUUACUGGGCGUAAAGCGCACGUAGGCGGCUUUACAAGUCAGGGGUGAAAGCCCGCGGCUCAACCGCGGAAUUGCCCUUGAGACUGUAUCGCUUGAACACGGGAGAGGUGAGUGGAAUUCCGAGUGUAGAGGUGAAAUUCGUAGAUAUUCGGAAGAACACCAGUGGCGAAGGCG